rnacentral:rRNA from 1 species
UACGUAGGGGGCAAGCGUUGUCCGGAUUUAUUGGGCGUAAAGAGCGUGUAGGCGGCCAGAUAGGUCAGCUGUGAAAACUCGAGGCUCAACCUCGAGACGUCGGUUGAAACCAUCUGGCUAGAGUCCGGAAGAGGAGAGUGGAAUUCCCGGUGUAGCGGUGAAAUGCGCAGAUAUCAGGAGGAACACCAAUGGCGAAGGCAGCUCGCUGGGACGGUACUGACGCUGAGACGCGAAAGCGUGGGGAGCAAACAGG